rfam:TPA: Bos taurus chromosome 1, whole genome shotgun sequence.
UCCCUGGUGGUCCAGUGGUUAAGACUCUACGCUUCCAACACAGGGGACCCAGGUUCAAUCCCUGGUCGGGGAA